GAGUAUUUUGUGGGCCAUGAAGUGAUAAUGUGGGCUAAACCGAGUAGAACAAAUAAUAAGGUCAUGUCAUAGUAUUAGACUACAAAGUUUUGUGAUGGGCCCAAAAUACCCUUGUUCCCAUUUCACUUUCAUUUCGGACACAAAAUAAAAAAAUAAAAAAGAAGAAGUCAAUCCCAAUCCCAUGAAUAUGAAAAAAGAGAAAAAAGAAAAAAGACAUUUGGGCCCACAUGAUCCUACAGGGUGUGUUUCUCUUUGACAGGUCACAAAUUCACAGCACAAAAACCUUUCUCUAUCUAUGUAGUUAACAGCUAACAGCUCCAUUUAGGUCUCUCUUUCUUUUAGAUUCUCUUACUAUGCGAUCAAUCAAUCAAGACCCCCUAAAUUAGUCUGUACCAACCGUUGAAGCCCCCCUCCCGAUUCUUUGGUGGCCAAGCAUUGAUUUGUGGAUAUAGAAAUGGCAAAUUGGAUCGAUCGGAGGUUUCGUUCUCUUAAUUUAGGUCCUUGACUUCUUUCUGUAAAUGGGAAUUUGUUGAUUGGUAUUUUGUUGAUCUUCUUCUUGCUGUUGAGUUUCUUUUCUGUAAUGUAGUUUUGUUCACACGGCUUAUAAUUCAGAGAAGGGUCGACCCAUUUUUUGUCAUGUCAUAUAUUUCGUGCUAACAUAAAUGUAAACUAUGUUUCAAAUCAUGGAAAUUGGAAGGAUUGCAAUGAGAAGUUCUAGUUCACAUUCUUUUUA